rnacentral:rRNA from 1 species
CGGCGAGUGAAGCGGCAACAGCUCAAAUUUGAAAUCUGGCGUCUUUGGCGUCCGAGUUGUAAUUUGCAGAGGGCGCUUUGGCAUUGGCAGCGGUCCAAGUUCCUUMGGAACAGGACGUCACAGAGGGUGAGAAUCCCGUACGUGGUCGCUAGCCUUUACCGUGUAAAGCCCCUUCGACGAGUCGAGUUGUUUGGGAAUGCAGCUCUAAAUGGGAGGUAAUUUCUUCUAAAGCUAAAUACUGGCCAGAGACCGAUAGCGCACAAGUAGAGUGAUCGAAGAUGAAAAGCACUUUUGGAAAGAGAGUUAAAAAGCACGUGAAAUUGUUGAAAGGGAAGCGCUUGCAGCCAGACUUUGCCUGUAGUUGCUCAUCCGGGUUUUUACCCGGUGCACUCUUCUACGGGCAGGCCAGCAUCAGUUUGGGCGGUUGGAUAAAGGUCUCUGUCAUGUACCUCCUCUCGGGGAGAACUUAUAGGGGAGACGACAUGCAACCAGCCCGGACUGAGGUCCGCGCAUCUGCUAGGAUGCUGGCGUAAUGGCUGUAAGCGGCCCGUCUUA